rnacentral:lncRNA from 1 species
UUUUACCCACUGUAUUAAAAUAAUAUUUUGGGAAUUUUAAAGAUUUUUAAUAAUUUUUACCUCGCUCAUAACCUGCGGUUAUGGCUACGGUUCGGUAAAUACCGAAUAUGUCCUUUUCGGCCAAAACAUGAGUUCUACAAGGUCUUUUGACCCGAUUCCAGUUGCUACUGGUUUUAAAUAAUAAAUAAAGUAUUUUAAGCUUUAUAAGCUGUUCGGGAAACUCAGAUUUCCUGUAGAACUCGAAAAGCACUUUUUUAAAGUCUUUAAAAUGACCCAAAAGCCCCUACGGGGCAUAAUAUUAACUUAAACUCGUUACGGGCAUCACGGAAGGUAUCCUACUGAUACCACAACCCAUUUAAGGCAUAUUGACUUAGGAAAUAAGCGUACGACUCUCAUGGUUAACCGUUUCGCCUAUUGCGCGCACGGUUCGGCUUAUGAAACUAGUUUUCAUAAAUUAGCCGAUACGGGUCAAAUUAUAUUAUUUGAACCCCAAAAUCCAGAGUGUGAACCAUAAACCCAUAUAAAACAAGUCUCUGAACUUGUUGGGUCAGAAUCGCACUCCAUUCUCGGUUUUCGCCUUUUCGCGCGAUUAAACCAUACCUAUAUAUAUCGGAACCAACCGGUCUAGGCUACGGCCAUUAUAAAGACUCGUUAGGAUUCUAAGAGGUUAAUUAAAACCUUCGUUCCAGAUUAGGAGCCCCAGUAAAAGCUAUCGGUGAUUUAAUCCAAAUUAAGGAAAUAUACUUGCAAAGGUAAAUACUUUAACUUAUUUCCCCUAUAUGGGCUUGGGUUACGGUAUAUUAAUACCGCUUGAUUGAGCAUUGUAUUCUUCCAUCGCUUAGGUGGUUAAUUAAAUAAUAUGAUCGGCUCAUUUAAACAGUUUUGCUUCUUAUAAGCCUUUGGGAGGUUUAAUGACCGUUGUCCCGGAUAUCCUUGGCAUCAUUUUACGAAAUGGCCACGACCAUCGACAUCCCGGUGUAGGCGUACACCCGGUAUAAAGUGUCGACAUUAAAUUAAAAGACGUAGCCGUUGGUUUUUAUACUACGGUUUUACGCAAUGUGGUGUGUCUAUAAAUCUUUAACCCGGCACGACCCGGGCUACUGAACGCAUAAAAGAACAUGUAAAACGUUCACGAGAUUUUAUUAUAAUUUUCCCAAGUUAUAAAAGAGUUUGUGCCUUGUGCAUUCAAAUCAAUUUUAAUAAACAUUUUCAAAUGUGUCAGUUGAAUGUAUUUACCAGUGUAAACUGACGUAUUUUCCCCAAAAAGAUUAAGUGCAGGUACUAGACGAAAUUGGCUGGUAUUAGCUGCCUAAGCAUCACGAAUAGUCUCGCAAACUCGAUGCCGUAUCUGAAUGAACAAUAUUUAUUUAUUUUGAUCCGCUGUGGAUAUAUUCAGCUUCUGUAAUACAUUUGAUAUUACAACCAGAGGUUGAAGUUUAUAUAUUUAUCUUAAGCUUCCGCUGUGCAUUAUAUAAUUGUGUGGUUUGACUAUAUUGUUGCCAACAUCGUCACGGUAAUCCCCCACCGGGCCCACCGGUGAGACACGUGGAAAUCGGGGUGUGACAGGUUGGUAUCAGAGCCAACAUUGAGUGAGUUAAACACUAUCCUAUUGUGUUUAAUCUCAAUGACACAAUUGCACAUACUUGAGUCUAGACAAGAACUUAGGACAAAUUCGAAUUUUUUAUAA